CUCCCCUGACAAUGGGCAAAGAGACAUCUUGUUGGUGUUGUUCUUAUACCAGUUAGGAGCAGAGCAGAUGGAAGACUUUUGUUUAUCCUAGCUUGAUACCUGGCUUGGUGGUCAAAGCUGUUUUAUGCCCCAACACCAUA
rfam:Mus musculus chromosome 12, GRC primary reference assembly.